rnacentral:rRNA from 1 species
GAUGAACGCUGGCGGCGUGCCUAAUACAUGCAAGUCGAGCGAACAGACGAGGAGCUUGCUCCUCUGACGUUAGCGGCGGACGGGUGAGUAACACGUGGAUAACCUACCUAUAAGACUGGGAUAACUUCGGGAAACCGGAGCUAAUACCGGAUAAUGUAUUGAACCGCAUGGUUCAAUAGUGAAAGACGGUUUUGCUGUCACUUAUAGAUGGAUCCGCGCCGCAUUAGCUAGUUGGUAAGGUAACGGCUUACCAAGGCGACGAUGCGUAGCCGACCUGAGAGGGUGAUCGGCCACACUGGAACUGAGACACGGUCCAGACUCCUACGGGAGGCAGCAGUAGGGAAUCUUCCGCAAAGGGCGAAAGCCUGACGGAGCAACGCCGCGUGAGUGAUGAAGGUCUUCGGAUCGUAAAACUCUGUUAUUAGGGAAGAACAAAUGUGUAAGUAACUAUGCACGUCUUGACGGUACCUAAUCAGAAAGCCACGGCUAACUACGUG